rnacentral:rRNA from 1 species
UACGUAGGGCGCAAGCGUUGUCCGGAAUUAUUGGGCGUAAAGAGCUCGUAGGCGGCCUGUUGCGUCCGCUGUGAAAUCCCGGGGCUUAACCCCGGGCCUGCAGUGGAUACGGGCAGGCUGGAGGCAGGCAGGGGAGACUGGAAUUCCUGGUGUAGCGGUGAAAUGCGCAGAUAUCAGGAGGAACACCGGUGGCGAAGGCGGGUCUCUGGGCCGAUACUGACGCUGAGGAGCGAAAGCGUGGGGAGCGAACAGG